GGUUAAGCGACUAAGCGUACACGGUGGAUGCCCUGGCAGUCAGAGGCGAUGAAGGACGUGCUAAUCUGCGAUAAGCGUCGGUAAGGUGAUAUGAACCGUUAUAACCGGCGAUUUCCGAAUGGGGAAACCCAGUGUGAUUCGUCACACUAUCAUUAACUGAAUCCAUAGGUUAAUGAGGCGAACCGGGGGAACUGAAACAUCUAAGUACCCCGAGGAAAAGAAAUCAACCGAGAUUCCCCCAGUAGCGGCGAGCGAACGGGGAGCAGCCCAGAGCCUGAAUCAGUGUGUGUGUUAGUGGAAGCGUCUGGAAAGGCGUGCGAUACAGGGUGACAGCCCCGUACACAAAAAUGCACAUACUGUGAGCUCGAUGAGUAGGGCGGGACACGUGGUAUCCUGUCUGAAUAUGGGGGGACCAUCCUCCAAGGCUAAAUACUCCUGACUGACCGAUAGUGAACCAGUACCGUGAGGGAAAGGCGAAAAGAACCCCGGCGAGGGGAGUGAAAAAGAACCUGAAACCGUGUACGUACAAGCAGUGGGAGCACGCUUAGGCGUGUGACUGCGUACCUUUUGUAUAAUGGGUCAGCGACUUAUAUUCUGUAGCAAGGUUAACCGAAUAGGGGAGCCGAAGGGAAACCGAGUCUUAACUGGGCGUUAAGUUGCAGGGUAUAGACCCGAAACCCGGUGAUCUAGCCAUGGGCAGGUUGAAGGUUGGGUAACACUAACUGGAGGACCGAACCGACUAAUGUUGAAAAAUUAGCGGAUGACUUGUGGCUGGGGGUGAAAGGCCAAUCAAACCGGGAGAUAGCUGGUUCUCCCCGAAAGCUAUUUAGGUAGCGCCUCGUGAAUUCAUCUCCGGGGGUAGAGCACUGUUUCGGCAA
rnacentral:rRNA from 1 species